rnacentral:rRNA from 1 species
UACGUAGGGUGCAAGCGUUGUCCGGAAUUAUUGGGCGUAAAGGGCUCGUAGGCGGUCCGUCACGUCGGGAGUGAAAACUUGGGGCUUAACCCCAAGCCUGCUUCCGAUACGGGCGGACUAGAGGUAGGCAGGGGAGAACGGAAUUCCUGGUGUAGCGGUGAAAUGCGCAGAUAUCAGGAGGAACACCUGUGGUGUAGACGGCUUUCUGGACCAUAGCUGACGCUGAGACACGAAAGCGUGGGUAGCAAACAGG